rnacentral:lncRNA from 1 species
CACCACUGCACACCAGCCUGGGCAAUAGAGUGACAUCCUGUCUUAAAAAAAAAAAAGAAAAAGAAAGAAAGAAAAGAAAAAGAAAAAAAGAAAGAGGGCUCUUGGGCCUGACUGUGUGUGCUGGGGUACACCAUGGAGGGGCUGGAAGGCAGGGUUCUGUCCUGUCCUGAAGGGUGCCUGGUAGGCUAGGAGCCUUGGCACUUGGGCCAGCUGGACAAAGCUCCCUUCUGGGCUUCACAACAGGAGAGAAAGGCUGGGCCUGCCUUAGAGAGGACCCUUGGGACAGGCCAGAGAGGGAGGGAGAGGAGCCAAGCCUGGCUCACAAACCUCCCCUGACCCCUGCCAGGUCUGGGCCUCAGACCACGGCACUGAACUCAAUCUGUUCUGCCCACUGCCCCCACCAUGUCUCAUAGUCCAGAGGCUACAGAUGUCCAAGCUGUUUGCCUCUGCUGAGUGGCCACCCUCAGUGCCCCCAGCAGGGGCCUAGCCAUCAGUCACAAGGCUGCCAGUCCUCAGGGCUGGACAUGCAGAGCUGGAUGUGGACCAGUGGAUGGCAGGCAGCAGGGGGCACUGACUGCUACGCAUGGGCUGCCUUGGAGGCCUCCCUAUGCCUUCCCUGCCCCCUUUUCUCUCCCCCAGCCCACCUGUGCCCUCACCUGUGCCCAUAUCUCCAUUCCCCUGUCACCUGGGUCUACUUUACCUGCCAUGUCUCUGGGCCCUUCUCACCUGUGCCCCUCUGAUUUGUCCCCUCUCUCUUCCUUCAUCAGAUCCCUCUCCCUUACCCCUCCUCUCCAGUCUCAGGGCCACUUCACCCCAGACUGACUUCUCCUGUUUCCUGUGUCGGUCUCUCCCUCCCGCUCCGUACCUUAGGGGUGGAAAAGUCAAGAUUCAGCCUUUGAAACUCCAUCUUUCCAACCUUGCUGCCCUUACCUCAGCCUGGCCCUCUCCUUUUCGAGGCAGCUGCCAGUGGGGGAAUUGGAACAUCAAGGCAGAAUGGGUUUUUUGACCCAACCACGGGCAUGUGGAGCCACCAUAUAAAGAAGUCCAGGCUAUACUCCUAGAGGCCACAUGCAAGAGAACUGAGGCAUCCCAGCUGACAGCCAGCACCAACUGCCGGGCAUGUGAGUGAACUUUCCUAGAAUACGACCCUCCAGCUCCCAUCAAUCAAGACUGAAGAUGAUAUAGCCCUGGACAGUGCGGCUUGACUGCAGCCUCAUGAGACACCCAGAGUCAGACCACCCAGCUAAGCUGCUCCUGGAUUUCUGACCCUCAGAAACUAUGAUACAAUAAAUAUUUGUUGCAAGCCACUAA